UGGCGCCCUGCGGCAAGGGGAAAACAGAAGGGUCCUGAACCGUCACACUGCGGCCAUACCCUUCCCCCUCGGCCAGUGUGGGGUAGGAAAGAGGACUAGGAAGGGAAGGAGGUUUGGGGAUUAUCCGACGUGCAGGGGCCACCCGCACCACUGACCCCGUAAACGGCUGGAGCUCUGGCCCGACUAACUGGUUCCGAGCUUGGGGGUAAGGCGUCCUCGGCCUAACCCGGGCGGCCUUCCUGGAGGAAGGGGAGAACCGCGUUUUCCCGGGCCCACUGGGACUCCGCAGUGCGGGGGGAGGAGCGGCAGGAAGGGGCCAGAGUACCGGCCGCGCGGGUCCCGUUCUGCUGUCCGAAACCGCCGCUUUCCCAGUGCCAGGCGCGGGCUGGGCCCCGGGAACCCGGCCGCAGGAGCUCGUCGGGGGAGAGUUAGGGCCACGGCCGCCUCCGCCCAGCCCCGCACGCGCCCCCCGCCCGAGGCUGCCCGGAGGAGGCCUGGGGCCGCACCGCGCCGGCGGAGAGGCGGGCUCUCGGCAGGUUCUCCGAAACUCCCUAAAACCCAGGCCCGAGGGUCACCCGGGUCUUGUGCCUCACACCCCGAGCAGGUAACAGACUGGCACAAGGAAGCCCCGGGAGCUGAGCGGGAAACUGAGGAAACACAAGCCUUGUUCCCAGCUCCUCGCCUCUGAAAAGAAGGGCUUAAAUAUAGGUCUUAGGCUGCCUGGGGAGGAGGGGGCGGCUGCGGGAAGGUAGACUGGACACAGUCCCUCCAUUUCUUUAUCCCCUGUAUCUUCGCUGCCUCCCAUCCCUCCUCAGGCCCGCUCUGAUCCUUUAAUUCCCGGCUCUAGAUCUCGUUCGCUGUGAAUUUAAUUUAACGACCCCACCCCCGCCCGCCUCCCCAGCCAUUCAGUCAAAAGGCCCCUCUGCGCCCUCUGGCGGCCGCGGCUCCCCUACAGAAAGGCACGCACCUGUUCUUGCCUCUGGGUCCAACAGCCAAAAUCAAGAUGCUUCAAACAUCCGGGGCCAGCUCAACCACCGAGCAAAGGUCGCCCAGGGCAGAACGAAUAACCAGUAACUCCUGGCGCUGUCUGCUCUGGGUGGCAGUUGACUGGGAAGAAAAGCAACCAGGCCUCCUGGAUUCCAUUUAUUCCACACAGUUAUGCUCUUAACAUUGUGUCCUUUGUGCCUGCACUGCACAAGGUCUUUUUCUACACAUUGCCCCACAGACCCUCUCAGCUGCUUCUUCCUAGUGUGACCUGCCUGGCUGCUCUUCAAAUACCUACCAGGCAGUGGCUUUGAGAAAUGCCUACGCAAACGCCAGACUGCUCAUGCAAACCCUGGAAUCUAAUACUUGGCAGCUCAGUGGCAGCAAAGGCAACAGAAAUAGGAAUUCUAUAAAUUCUGCCCAUGGACAUUAUCUUAAGCUAAGGAAGCACAUUUACAGUGCCAGUCCUACUUAUUCCUUGGAGGUUGCCUGAGUACCUCCCUGGGGACCCAGAACAUCUACUGUGUGGCUUGAGGAGCGGUGUGUGGGUCCGCACCCAGGAUGCAAACCCACGAACCCAAACCACCAAAGCGGAGUGCGCAAACUUUACCACUACGCCACUGGCUAGCACCACUAAUUCAGUCUUUAACCCAAUGGGAUCAAAGUCUGCUCUAUUAAUCUGCUGAAACCGUUCAUAUUAUGGUGUUGGCGUACAUCAGUGGGACCCUGUCAAGCAAACCUGGAGCAUCCCUGGUCUACCCCAUGCCCUCCCGGAAUGUGUCACUGCAGCUGCAGGGCCUCCAGGAGAAAGACUCCGGGUCCUACCUCUGUUCUGUGAACGUGCACGACAGUCAAGGCAAAGAGAGGGGCCAUGGCAGCAAAAGUUUAGAACUCAAUGUGCUGGUUCCUCCAGCUCCUCCAUCCUGCCGUCUCCUGGGCGUGCCCCGUGUGGGGACCAACGUGACCCUGAGCUGCCAGUCCCCAAGGAGUAAGCCCGCUGCCCAGUACCAGUGGGAGCGGCCA